rnacentral:SRP_RNA from 19 species
AGCUGUCAUGGCCUAAGGGAAAACUGUCCGUCCUACGCUCUUCUUUCGUGAGUUUAUCUCACCGCGUCGGGUGCCUGGUUCGAAUCCGCGAGUCGCCAUCACACCCGUGUAGGGAACUCACGGUCGCUGUGUGGCGUUAAGCAAUGAGAAUGAUACUUCAGGGAAGCAAUUCUGCAGAGGCAUUUUCACUCAUGGAUGGCGGUGCCAGAAUACACUAGACGUCGUAGAUUGCGCUGGUCAGGUUGACUCUUUUUUU